GAGCUACACGCAGUGAGCAGGGUGGUGCUUGCUACUGGACUAGCGGCGGACGGUGAGUAUACUUAGGAAUCUGCCUAUUAGUGGGGGACACGUUUCGAAAGGGACGCUAAUACCGCAUACGCCCUACGGGGGAAAGCAGGGGAUCUUCGGACCUUGCGCUAAUAGAUGAGCCUAAGUCGGAUUAGCUAGUUGGUGGGGUAAAGGCCUACCAAGGCGACGAUCUGUAGCGGGUCUGAGAGGAUGAUCCGCUCCCCUGGGACUGAGAACGGCCCAUACUCCUCUGGAGGCAACGUGGGGAAGAGUGGGCUUUAGGGGUAAAAUAGUUCCCGACAUGAUUCGGUGGUUUUUUUACCUUACUGAUCCAUAAGGUAAAGGAAAGGCCAUGCUUUUGUGGGUUUUCGAGGAAGAACAAGGAAGACUCCCUGUGAGGUGACAAGAGUAGUGCGUGUCGUAGGCGCUGUAUCUCUCCGCAUUAUGCUCUGUCGUCUGUAGAUGCUGUGCGCUUCUCAUGAGUGCUGCAUCGAAUUGACAGGAGUGUGCGAUUCUCUGAUACAUAUCGUACACACGCCGAUUGAGCAGAAUGCUAAUAACGAUAAGCACGAGGAGAGUGCGGUGUCCGUCAUGGUGUAUGCACAGUGUCGUGUGAUCCGCACUGAUGUAAGCGAGCAUGCUAUGUGUCGCUCUCUAUCUCGCAUGUGCGUAGUAUCAGUUCUCGUCUACAUCCGUAUAGGCCUGUCCGACGACACUCAGAUGAAAGGAGUGUGUCACAUCGAGUCUCUAUGCACUUGUGAUAUGCAGCGUGACGUGCGUAUAGCGUGUAGACUUCGUGUCGCGCCACAUACAGAAUGAGAUGGCUUAUGAUAUGUAAUAUAUGACAUUAUCAAUGUAUGACAUAGCAUGCGCAUUCGUUGUAGUAGAAGACACUGAUACGCGAUGCUCUGAGUCUACAGUAUUAUCCUAGCAUGUCCUUGUAUGACUCCUGCUUGCCGAUAGCCGUGGCAUUGUGGUAGUACGUCUGUUAUUGCCUUUUUACUGCUCCGUCAUCGAUGCAACUUCGACGUGCAUAUCUGAUGGCGAUGAGCUACGUCACGUACGCGUUAGUCGUUGCUAGGUCACGUCUGCCGGGUUCAUCUAUGAUCCUGCUGCUAUCCAUCUUCAGUUGUGGUGAUGAUAUGUACGACGAUUCGAUCAUAUUGACUGAAUGUGAUGUGAUGUCGUAAUGAUCUUGUUUUAAUUUCUAC
rnacentral:rRNA from 1 species